CCUACGGGAGGCAGCAGUAGGGAAUUUUCGGCAAUGGGGGGAACCCUGACCGAGCAACGCCGCGUGAACGAAGAAGUUAUUCGUAAUGUAAAGUUCUUUUAACAGGGAAGAAAGAGAAAUUUGACGGUACCUGAUGAAUAAGCCCCGGCUAACUACGUGCCAGCAUCCGCGGUAAUACGUAGGGAGCGAGCGUUAUCCGGAAUCAUUGGGCGAAAAGGUUGCGUAGAUGGAAUACUAAGUCUUUUGUAAAAAUGCUGGGCUCAACCCAGUAGGGCAAAAGAUACUGGAAAGCUAGAGUAUGACAGAGGCAAGCGGAACUAGAUGUGUAGCGGUAAAAUGCGUAAAUAUAAGGAAGAACCCCAGUGGCGAAGGCGGCUUGCUGCGUCGAAACUGACACUGAGGCACGAAAGCGUGGGGAGCAAACAGGAUUAGAUACCCGAGUAGUC
rnacentral:rRNA from 1 species